rnacentral:rRNA from 1 species
CAAAGGCUUGGUCCUGACUUUUCUGUCAACUCUAAUCUAACUUACACAUGCAAGUUCCGCACCCCUGUGAGAAUGCCCUACAGUUCCCUGCUUCGGGAACAAGGAGCUGGUAUCAGGCACAAUUCAAAAUUAGCCCAAGACACCUUGCUUAGCCACACCCUCAAGGGAAAUCAGCAGUGACAAACAUUUAGCCAUAAGUGAAAACUUGACUUAGUUAAGGUUAAGAGGGCCGGUAAAACUCGUGCCAGCCACCGCGGUUAUACGAGAGGCCCAAGCUGACAGACAUCGGCGUAAAGAGUGGUUAGGAAAAUACAACAAAUUAGAGCCGAACGCCCUCAAGGCUGUUAUACGCUCCCGAGAGUAAGAAGUACAACAACGAAAGUAGCCCUAUAAUUUCUGAACCCACGAAAGCUAAGGCACAAACUGGGAUUAGAUACCCCACUAUGCCUAGCCCUAAACAUUGAUGGCCUAAUACCUAAGCCAUCCGCCAGGGAACUACGAGCAUUAGCUUAAAACCCAAAGGACUUGGCGGUGCUUUAGAUCCACCUAGAGGAGCCUGUUCUAGAACCGAUAACCCCCGUUCAACCUCACCUUUCCUUGUUCAACCCGCCUAUAUACCACCGUCGUCAGCUCAUCCUGUGAAGGCCCCUUAAUUAGCAAAAUUGGCAAAGCCCAAAACGUCAGGUCGAGGUGUAGCGUACGGAAAGGGAAGAAAUGGGCUACAUUCCCUGCCUUAGGGAAUUCGAAUGAUAUACUGAAA